AACGAACGCUGGCGGCAUGCCUAAUACAUGCAAGUCGAACGAGACCUUCGGGUCUAGUGGCGCACGGGUGCGUAACGCGUGGGAAUCUGCCCUUGGGUUCGGAAUAACUUCGGGAAACUGAAGCUAAUACCGGAUGAUGACGAAAGUCCAAAGAUUUAUCGCCCAGGGAUGAGCCCGCGUAGGAUUAGCUAGUUGGUGGGGUAAAGGCUCACCAAGGCAACGAUCCUUAGCUGGUCUGAGAGGAUGAUCAGCCACACUGGGACUGAGACACGGCCCAGACUCCUACGGGAGGCAGCAGUAGGGAAUAUUGGACAAUGGGCGAAAGCCUGAUCCAGCAAUGCCGCGUGAGUGAAGAAGGCCUGCGGGUUGUAAAGCUCUUUUGGUCGGGAAGAAAGUGCUCUGCUUAAUACGCGGGGUAUUUGACGGUACCGGCAGAAUAAGCACCGGCUAACUACGUGCCAGCAGCCGCGGUAAU
rnacentral:rRNA from 1 species